UACGAUUUGGAGGUGUUCCAAAAGAAGCGGACCAACACGAUGUCCGGCAACAGUAAUCCAAGAUGGUGAUACAUACCAACCAGGCUUAAAGAACCAUCUUCACCCAGCAGAACCCGGUAUACACACGGCUACCAAGAUAAAAGUUACAGCAAAGCAUGAAGCCAAAGGAAAUGUUUUUACCAAGUCAUGUUCCUCAAUAGCGGAGAGAGUUUUAUACAGUGUCGGUUCUGCAGAAGAACCCAUUCAUAGCAGACCACCCAUGGCAGCACUUGUAAGGUCGCUACAAAGAACCCGACAGACUCUGCGACCAAAAGAUCCCACUGACGUGUCGUCAAGCCUUGACGAAGAUUUCAUCGAUCAUAGUGCACCGGGAUUUUAUCAAAAAAGAGUAAAAGUUGGGGAAAGGCGCCAUCACAUUUUUUGUACUGAUAGACAGAUGCAACUACUCGCACGCGCAAAAACUUGGUAUAUGGAUGCAACUUUUCGGGUGGUGAACAAGCCAUGGUCUCUGCUGUUUUCCAUCCACGCCUUCAUUAAGACUGGAGAGACCACCCGACAGUUACCAUUGGUGUUUUGUGUAAUGUCGGGUAAAAGCCAAGACGACUAUUAUAAGUCAAUGAUGAUAUGUGACUCUUUCCACCUUCCAGCAAUAAUUAUUGAGAAUUUACCAAGGACUCCAUUGGCAUUGAAUCGAAGAAAAACAGUUUCAAUAUUGGAUGUAUAUGCAAAUCACCCAGAAAAAGAUCAUGUAAUAACAAAAGAAAUUAUAAAAGAAAAAAAUGGAAGAAGAAAUGGCUGGAAAAAAUGAUGAUAGAGCAGCUUUUUCUAGUUACCCACCUCGGAAGA